rnacentral:misc_RNA from 1 species
UACGAAGGGUGCAAGCGUUAAUCGGAAUUACUGGGCGUAAAGCGUGCGUAGGUGGUUUGUUAAGUCCGAUGUGAACGCCAUGGGCUCAACCUGGGAAUGGCAUUGGAUACUGGCGAGCUAGAGUGCGGUAGAGGGGUGCGGAAUUCCCGGUGUAGCGGUGAAAUGCGUAGAGAUCGGGAGGAACAUCCGUGGCGAAGGCGGCACCCUGGACCAGCACUGACACUGAGUCACGAAAGCGUGGGGAGCAAACAGG